rnacentral:misc_RNA from 1 species
GAUGAAGAACGUAGCGAAAUGCGAUAAGUAAUGUGAAUUGCAGAAUUCAGUGAAUCAUCGAAUCUUUGAACGCACAUUGCGCCCGGUAGUAUUCUGCCGGGCAUGCCUGUUCGAGCGUCAUUUAACCAUCAAGCCCCAGCGCUUGUGUUGGGGGCCUGCGGCUGCCGCAGCCCCCUAAAAGCAGUGGCGGGCUCGCUAUCACACCGAGUGCAGUAGUUCAUCUUCUCUCCGGUCUUGUGAGGCGGGUUCCGGCCGUGAAACACCCCACUACAUUCAAGGUUGACCUCGGAUCAGGUAGGAAUACCCGCUGAACUUAAGCAUAUCAAUAAGCGGAGGA